rnacentral:sRNA from 1 species
ACCAGGUGUGGUGGUGCAUGCCUGUAAUCCCAGCGACUCAGGAGGCUGAGACAAGAGGAUCACGAGUUCAAAGUCAGCCUCAGCAAUGGUGAGGUGCAAAGCAACUUAGUGAGACCCUGUCUCUA